CAUCCUUUACGUUGUGCGUGACGUCGGUGUCUUUCAUUGCCAUGUGUAAGAGAGAGGCUGUCACUUUUGUGCGCAAUGCGUGUGCUUCGACGUCUCUCACGCCUUUACGUAUAUUGUGUUCCCGACAAUCAAGUGAGCCGCCUGGCAUCUUUCUCGCCACUUGAAAAGCCGAAAAAGAAACGAUAAGGCCCACCUAAAGUAUCUGCUGUCACUUUCAAACCAGCAUGGGUCCUUUCAUCAAGCAUUUUCUGGAGGGCAUCUGCUUCACUUCUCGACCUGGUGUGUUCUGAUAACGACUUUGAAAAGUGGCACCGGAUACAUACCCCACCAAGGUUGCCUCCUGGAAUGAUCUUUAUUAUCACCGCCGUGUUGAUGGUCGCAGCAAGCUUGGUCAUAUUGUGUUGCUACUGGAUUCGACGACAACACAGCAUACAAUAUACCAGUCCCCACAUUCCACCAACGCUAGCACCAGCUGUGUCUCCGGUGACAUCGGGAGUUAGGAUGCAGUCUUCCCAGCGAAUGCAUUCGCUGGUGCCUGGAGCAGCUCAGUCUCCGGCGGCAUCGCACCCUCAACCGCCGUACUACCAACAGCCAGCCGUUCCUUACCCCCAGGAACUCCCCUACAUGGGUAACAACGCGGCACCACUGGUACAGCCGUCCGCUGCACUGUACUCAUCGCCAUCUGUGCCAUUUGAUCCACCCCCACCUUAUGUCAGCCCAAGCAUACCGCCUGAAACCCAUUUCAGAAAGUCGUAAAUGAACUCAACGAGGAAUGGCAAUCAGACAUGCGUUGAACUGUCACGAUGGCUUGUUGCGCUGCUAAGCACGAGGUCGUGGGUUCGAUUUCUACUUGAAUUUAGCUGACGACCAAUGCCGUGGAACGCCUGGAGGAUCGCCAAUGGGCUCUAAUGGUCGUGGUCAAAAGGUGCUGAAAAAAAAGUGGCAUCAUCUAGGUGACAUAACUAGUUGGAACAUUUGAAGGAGUGAAUCUUUAAUGUCAACAAACGUGGUUAGCACACUUCAGUGACCAGAAGGCAUUAUUUUGAACUGAUAAAGCCCGUAAAGUGUUACAACGUAUAUACGCAAAGGUUAUGUGAAUAAGAAUUGUAAUUUAACACAUAUUAUACACAUAGUGUCUAAUCGUUAUACAUAUAGUAUCUAAUCAUGUAUACACACGCAUGGGGCAUAUGAAAAAUACGAAGCGUUGAUGUAUGUUGUGCAGUCAUCUGUGCAGUAUCACUUGUAAUGUCCCCGUGGCAAUGUUGGCUUUCUUGCAAAUCCAAGUUUCAUCCGCCACGGUGGUCCAGUGGUUAUGGUACUCGACUGCUGAACCGAAGGUCACGGGAUCAAAUCCCACAUAGUGGCCACAUUUUCGACGAAGGCAAAAAUGCUUGAGGCCUGUUUAUGUAGAUUUAGGUGCACGUUAAAGAACCCAAAGUCGUCGAAAUUUACAGAGCCCUCCACUACAGCAUCCCUCCUAAUAUCGUGAUUUUGGGACAUUAAACCCCAACAAUUAUUAUGAAUCCAAGUUCCGCUAUGGGGGAACAUCAGCACAAUGUCGGUGUUUUAAGCAGAACUAAGGCUCAGUAUGCAGUGGCAUGUGUCGUGCAUUGAAAAAGCCAGCGUUAGACGGCCUCGUGCCUGGUUCACUUGGGGCUGGUAUUCAGAUCUGAAUGUUGGGCUGGUACAUGGCUUCCAUUUUUAUCAUUGUGUACCCAACCUAAAGGUUGCCAACAGUUCUGUACAGUGCCUUUGUGCUGCUAACCGUGAAGCUGACUGAGGCCUGCCCUAGGAACGAUAUUCACUUGUCGGCUUUGCUCUUCUCCCUUGCAUACCUUUUGUAGAGUGCCGAUAUUAUUAAACUGAUGGUAUUAAAUGUGAAGCAAAGGCAUGCUCUGGUCAAUGAGUAUAUUUGAAGAUUUAACUUGCAGGCAAAGAGCCUGAAAGUGCUGGCAGUGUCAGAAUGUUGCAAAUUGUGAAAUUAAUUAAAAGCUAUAGCAUAUUGGUUUUGAUGUUGAGAAAGGUCAAAUGCUUAUUGCAUUUCUUUGCAAGCCAAGACCCUUUGGUAAUGCUACUUUUAUUGCACAAUAGAAUCUCCUUCCCAAGCAGCCAAACGAGGAUAGUUUCACGUUUAUUUAUUUUUUGGUCACUUGGAGGCACUCUGCUGUCUUUUGUUUAUGCUAUAGCAUUGUGUUCCUAUAAAUAACACUGUACAGUAUAUGCAGUAUAUGUACUGACAACAGUGCAUAUAGUAUACGAAUAUGUAAUAUACAUUACAUCAGUCAGAGUUUUUCACUGUGUUUUUUGUUAUCCUCCACCAAGCUUUAGUAAUGUGGAGUUUAUUGCAUUGAGUACAUUCCAAGAUCAUGCUUUGUCAUUUUCUUCUUCUCAACUUAUUGAACACUUGUGAUGAUGUACGAGAAAGAGUUGGCAAAAAACAAGUGUUUCAGCAUAUUUAUAUAUGUUGUUCAAAACGUUAAUGAUGCGAAUACAAGGUGCCUAGUGUAAGUGGACACUUUGAACCAGUCAGUGGAUGGCAGCCUGGUGUUCACAGCUGUCAUAGAGCGCAGCUCUCAAGCGCCCGCUCUGCAUGUUUCUUUAGGGUGGCUUGGUGGGCAAGUUGGUACAUAGUUCUUCGUGAGGAAAUGCCAGCAGCACCAAAAGAAAGCAGAAGAAACUGAGCCAAAAAAAAAGAGACAGGAACAGGUAGGAUGCUGGCAUUAUUUUCCUUCUGGGAACCUUCUGAUUCCU
rnacentral:lncRNA from 1 species